CCCCUCCCAAAGGUGAGAGCUUGGUCAAAGAUGAUGGCCUUUUUCUUAGGGAGAACUAUAUGUAGUUAGAAAUAUAAAUGCAGUUCCAAUUUCCUUCUAAAGCCUCCACAUCAGUAGCUAAAUACCAUUUGUUGAAGUUUGUAGGAAACAAAU
rnacentral:sRNA from 1 species